ensembl:lncRNA
CUGACUGGCUUUCUUGAUGUCUAUAGUAUUCUCGCUGGUGUGCAAUCUGGUUUCCGCUCAGGUCAUGGAUGCAUCACUGCAACCUUAAAGGUCCUCAAUGAUGUCACCAUUGCUCUUGAUUCUAAGCAUUGUUGUGCUGCAAUUUUUAUUGACUUAGCCAAAUCUUUUGAUACGGUAGGUCAUUUCAUUCUUGUGAGCCGGCUAAGGAGUAUUGGUGUCUCUGAAGGGUCUUUGGCCUUGUUUGCUAACGACCUCUCUAAGAGUGCAGUGUAUAAAGUCAGAAAAUCUGCUGUUUCAGCCACUGCCUGUCAAGGGAGUACCCCAAGGCUCAAUCCUAGGCCCCACACUCUUCUCAAUUUACAUCAAUAACAAAGCUCAGGCAGUAGGAAGCUCUCUCAUCCAUUUAUAUGCAGACGAGUCUUAUACUCAGCUGGCCCCUCCCUGGAUUUUGUGUUAAAGACUCUACAACAAAGCUUUCUUAGUGUCCAAUAAGCUUUCUCUACCCUUAACCUUGUUCUGAACACCUCCAAAACAAAGGUCAUGUGGUUUGGUACGAAAAAUUCCCCUCCCCACCGGUGUGAUUACAAACUGAGGGUUUAGAGCUUGAUGUAGUCACCUCAUACAAGUCCCUGGGAGUAUGGCUAGACGGUACACUUUCCUUCUCUCAGCACAUAUCAAAGCUGCAGGCUAAGGUUAAAUCUAGACUUGGUUUCGUCUAUUGUAAUCGCUCCUCUUUCACCCCAGCUGCCAAACUAACCCUGAUUCGGAUGACCAUCCUACCCAUGCUAGAUGACAGAGACAUAAUUUAUAGAUCGACAGGUAAGGGCACUCAAGCGGCUAGAUGUUUUUUACCAUUCGGCCAUCACAUUUGCCACCAAUGCUCCUUAUAGGACACGUCACUGCACUCUAUACACCUCUGCAAACUGAUCAUCUCUGUAUACCAGUCGCAAGACCCACUGGUUGAUGCUUAUUCAUAAAACCAUCUUAGGGGUGAGUGAGGCCUAUCUGACAUAACUACUGCAGCCCUCAUCCUCCACACAACACCCGUUCUGCCAGUCACUUUCUGUUGAAAGUCACCAAAGCACUCACAUCCCUGGGUCGCUCCUCUUUUCAGUUCGCUGCAGCUAGCGACUGGAACAAACUGGACAGUUUUAUCGCAAUCUCUUCAUUCAAAGACUCAAUCAUAGAUGCAUACUUUUGUCUUUGCUUUGUGUAAUACCCUUUUGUGCUGUUGUCUGUGCCCAAUAAUGUUUGUACCGUGUUGCUGUGUUGUUGUCUUAGGUCUCUCUUUGUGGUGUUGUCUUAGGUCUCUUUGUUGUCGUGUUGUCUUAGGUCUCUCUUUGUUGUGUUGUCCUUUAUUUUUUAAAUCCCAGCCCCCUACCUCCAGGAGGCCUUUUGGUAGGCUGUCAUUGUAAAUAAGGAUUUGUUCUUAACUCACCUAGUUAAAUAAAAUAAAACAUAUCCUUGCUUCAAGUCCUAAGCUGCAGGCAGUUACAUUUGGGUGUCAUUUUAUUGGCAAAAACAGGGUCUGAUGUUUAAAAAUGAACCUGAAUCUAGAAAAUGAAUGGUGAUGUCGCUUCUGCACACUGUAGACGCCACUCUGCAGCAAUCUUCC